UGACGUUAGCGGCGGACGGGUGAGUAACACGUGGGUAACCUACCUAUAAGACUGGGAUAACUUCGGGAAACCGGAGCUAAUACCGGAUAACAUUUGGAACCGCAUGGUUCUAAAGUGAAAGAUGGUUUUGCUAUCACUUAUAGAUGGACCCGCGCCGUAUUAGCUAGUUGGUAAGGUAACGGCUUACCAAGGCGACGAUACGUAGCCGACCUGAGAGGGUGAUCGGCCACACUGGAACUGAGACACGGUCCAGACUCCUACGGGAGGCAGCAGUAGGGAAUCUUCCGCAAUGGGCGAAAGCCUGACGGAGCAACGCCGCGUGAGUGAUGAAGGGUUUCGGCUCGUAAAACUCUGUUAUUAGGGAAGAACAAAUGUGUAAGUAACUGUGCACGUCUUGACGGUACCUAAUCAGAAAGCCACGGCUAACUACGUGCCAGCAGCCGCGGUAAUACGUAGGUGGCAAGCGUUAUCCGGAAUUAUUGGGCGUAAAGCGCGCGUAGGCGGUUUCUUAAGUCUGAUGUGAAAGCCCACGGCUCAACCGUGGAGGGUCAUUGGAAACUGGGAAACUUGAGUGCAGAAGAGGAAAGUGGAAUUCCAUGUGUAGCGGUGAAAUGCGCAGAGAUAUGGAGGAACACCAGUGGCGAAGGCGACUUUCUGGUCUGUAACUGACGCUGAUGUGCGAAAGCGUGGGGAUCAAACAGGAUUAGAUACCCUGGUAGUCCACGCCGUAAACGAUGAGUGCUAAGUGUUAGGGGGUUUCCGCCCCUUAGUGCUGCAGCUAACGCAUUAAGCACUCCGCCUGGGGGAGUACGACCGCAAGGUUGAAACUCAAAGGAAUUGACGGGGACCCGCACAAGCGGUGGAGCAUGUGAUUUAAUUCGAAGCACGCGAGACCUUACCAAAUCUUGACAUCCUUUGAAACUCUAAAGAUAAAGCCUUCCCCUUCGGGGACAAAGUGACAGUGAUGCAUGAUGUCGUCAGCUCGAGUCGUGGAUGGUAGGGUAGUUCCCUCACGAGCGCAACCCUUAAGCUUAGUUGUCAUCAU
rnacentral:rRNA from 1 species